rnacentral:rRNA from 1 species
UGAGUAACACGUAUCCAACCUGCCGUCUACUCUUGGACAGCCUUCUGAAAGGAAGAUUAAUACAAGAUGGCAUCAUGAGUCCGCAUGUUCACAUGAUUAAAGGUAUUCCGGUAGACGAUGGGGAUGCGUUCUAUUAGAUAGUAGGCGGGGUAACGGCCCACCUAGUCUUCGAUGGAUAGGGGUUCUGAGAGGAAGGUCCCCCACAUUGGAACUGAGACACGGUCCAA